CCUACGGGAGGCAGCAGGAGGGAAUCUUCCACAAUGGGCGCAAGCCUGAGGGAGCAACACCGCAUGAGGGAAGAAGGGUUUCGGCGCGGAAAGCUCUGUUGUUGGAGAAGAACGUGCGUGAGAGUAACUGUUCACGCAGGGACGGUAUCCAACCAGAAAGGCACGGCUAACUACGUGCCAGCAGCCGCGGUAAUACGUAGGUGGCAAGCGUUAUCCGGAUUUAUUGGGCGUAAAGCGAGCGCAGGCGGUUGCUUAGGUCUGAUGUGAAAGGCUUCGGCUUAACCGAAGAAGUGCAUCGGAAACCGGGCGACUUGAGUGCAGCAGAGGGCAGUGGAACUCCAUGUGUAUCGGUGAAAUGCGUAGAUAUAUGGAAGAACACCAGUGGCGAAGGCGGCUGUCUGGUCUGCAACUGACGCUGAGGCUCGAAAGCGUGGGUAGCGAACAGGAUUAGAUACCCCAGUAGUC
rnacentral:rRNA from 1 species